rnacentral:rRNA from 1 species
UACGGCUAUAUCACGUUGAAACACCGAUUGCCUUACGAUGACCGAAGUUAACCAAGGUCGAGCCUGGUCAUUAUCUAGAUGGGUGACCGCUUGGAAAUACCAGGUGCUGUAG